GCUCUGUGGGAUCAGUGGCGAACGGGUGAGUAACACGUGAGCAACCUGCCCCUGACUCUGGGAUAAGCGCUGGAAACGGCGUCUAAUACUGGAUACGAGUAGCGGCCGCAUGGUCAGUUACUGGAAAGAUUUUUUGGUUGGGGAUGGGCUCGCGGCCUAUCAGCUUGUUGGUGAGGUAAUGGCUCACCAAGGCGUCGACGGGUAGCCGGCCUGAGAGGGUGACCGGCCACACUGGGACUGAGACACGGCCCACACUCCUACGGGAGGCAGCAGUGGGGAAUAUUGCACAAUGGGCGGAAGCCUGAUGCAGCAACGCCGCGUGAGGGAUGACGGCCUUCGGGUUGUAAACCUCUUUUAGCAGGGAAGAAGCGAAAGUGACGGUACCUGCAGAAAAAGCGCCGGCUAACUACGUGC
rnacentral:rRNA from 1 species